rnacentral:lncRNA from 1 species
GGAAAUCCAUGUGCCAUCUGUUCUUAUUUUCUUUCACUGUGGAGAAAAUAUUUGUUUUAGUUUUGUCCAAAAUUUAGAGAACUUUGUUUUCCUUCUCCUUUGUUGAAUAUGUCGGAUUAUUGUUUGUUGUGGUUUCUAUAGCUUGUUUUAUUUUGACUCACUACUAUGAGUAUUAAUUUUAUUUUUUGUUUAUGUCUCAUGUGAACUUGUCGUGGAGUCCAAUUUGGACUCAAAUCCAUCUCCUUUUCAUAUCGUUGAGUUAUUUUGAGUCAGUCGGGUGAUCCGAAUAGGGCUGUACAAGGCUGGAAAACUGAAACAAGUCUUGG